UCCCCCAUAACCCCGCAGGCUGCAGCUGCUGCCGGACGCCCGGGCCGCGAUGGCGGAGCUGCACUUCGCCCCCGAUCCGUUCUUUGGGGUCGUGGCUGUGGGGCCGCCCAGCCCCACACAGCUGCUGCAGGUGCUGGAGGAGCCGCUGUUUGUGGGAAGCCGAGCUGCCGGAGGCGACCCCAGAGGAGCUGCAGUUCCUGAGCGAAGCCGAAUCCCAGCUGCUGCCCCGCUGCCCCUCCUCCCCCCCCCCGGCGGCGCCGCCCCCAAAUCGACCCCAAACUUCAGAUCCCAGCUGAGGAUUUCCGGGCUCAGCUGCACCCCACAGCGCACUGCGGCCCCAUGGAUGGCUGCCCCCCGAGAUUUGGGAUCUGUGGGUCCGAGCCGCCCGCCCCACAGCGCCGGAACCCAGCGAGGUGGAGGAACCCAGAGAAAUCCCGGAACCGAGUGUGGGGCUGCCACCCUCCUCAGAGCUGAGCCUGGCGCUGAGCCCCGAGGAGCCGCGCCCCGCCGUGACCCCGGCGGAGGAAUGGAGAGCCCCGCCCCCUCUGCCCGAACUUCCGGAAGAGGCGGGACUUCCGCCGGUGGGCGUGGCUUCGUUGCGGCGGGUGGCGCUGGAGGGGGCGGGGAGACCGGAAGGGGCGGAGCUUAGCGGGCUGCUCCCGAGAUCCGCCCCCCGGAAGUUGUGGGCGCGGCUCUUCCGGGUUUGUCUGGAUCUCUGCGCCGCCGGUUGGCUGCGGCUGGAGCAAGCCCGCCCCUACGGACCAAUCGGCAUCCGGCUUGGCCCGCGAGGCCCCGCCCACCCCUCGCCAAGCCCCGCCCACGCGGAAUAAAACCAAAGGGGGGCGUGGCCUCGGCCUCCAUCCUUUUAUUGGCGCCCGAUGCUGCAGAGGGCGUUGCUGCGCACUUCCGGGUCCGGGUCGUGGGCGGAGCUUCGAGCGAGGGCCGGGCCAAUCAGAGGGAGGAGCUCCUUGGCCAUGCCCACGUCCAGGUAAAAGCCUGCCUCGCCCAAGAUGGCGGCCGCCCAGGAGCGCUGCGCCGCGUCGCCGCUCUGCGACGUCAGCGGGGGGCGGGGGCACAAAUGGGGCACAGGGACACACAGGGACCCAUAGGGACCCACAGGGACCCACAGGGACCCCAUAGGGAACCACAGAGACCCAUAGGGAUCCCAUAGACCCCAUAGGGACCCAUAGGGACCCAGAGAGCCCCAUAGAGACCCAUAGAAACCCACAGGGACCCAUAGGGACCCAUAGGACCCAUAGGGACCCAUAGUGAACCAUAGAGACCCAUACAGACCCAUAGGGACCCAUAGAGACCCAUAGGGACCCAUAGGGACCCAUAGGGACCCAGAGACCCAGAGAGACCCCACAGAAGCCCAUUCAGACCCAUAGGGACCCACAGACACCCAUAGAAACCCAUAGGACCCAUAGGGACCCAGAGGGACCCAUAGAAACCCAUAGGGACCCAUAGAGACCCAUGGGGACCCAUAGGGAACCAUAGAGACCCAUAGGGACCCAGAGAGACCCCAUAGAACCCCAUAGAGACCCAUAGGGACCCACAGACACCCAUAGAAACCCAUAGGACACAUAGGGACCCAUAGAAACCCAUAGGGACCCACAGAGACCCACAGAGACCCAUAGAGACCCACUGACACCCACUGAGACCCAUUGAGACACCAUAUAAACCCCACAGAGACCCCACAGGACACAUGGGACCCCAUAGAGACCCACAGGGACCCACAGGGACACAUGGAGCCCCAUAGAGAACCAUAGCGACCCCAUAGUGUUCCACAGAGACCCCAUAGGAAGCCACAGGGACCCAUAGGGACCCAGAGAGACCCAUAGAGACCCAUAGGGACCCAGAGACCCAUAGGC
rnacentral:lncRNA from 1 species